AUUUGUUGGACAUUUGUGUUGUUUCCCAUUCAAGAUUAUUACAAAUAAAGUUGCUAUUCUUGUACAAGUAUUCAUAUGGUUGUAAUAUUUCUUUCUCUCUUUAGUAAAUACCUAGGAGUGGAAUGGCUGGGUCAUGUGUUACCCUUAAGUUAUUCUCUUUUUUUAAAAAUCUCACUUAGUAUGAUAAACUCUAGGUCCAUCCAUGCUGCUGCAAAUGGAAUGCAUUAAAAAAACUUCAUUCUUUUUAAUGGCUGAGUAAUAUUCCGUUGUGUGUGUGUGUGUGUGUGUGUGUGUGCAUGUGUAUAAAAUUAUAUAUAUACCAUAUCUUCUUUAUCUAUUCAUCUAUUGAUGGACAUUUCAGUUGUUUCCAUGCCUUGGCUAUUGUAAAUAUUGUAAAUGAACACAGAGGUGCACGUAUCUUUUCAAAUUAUAGUUUUGUCUGGGUAUUUGCCCAAGAGUGGGUUGCUGGAUCAUAUGGCAACACUAUUUUUAGUUGUUUGAGGAAAUUCCAUCCUGUUUUCCAUAGCGGCUGUACCACCUUAAGUUAUUCUUAAUAUAUUUCCCUUUUUGGCUUAAACCAAUCAAUUUAGAUUGGUCAAGGCCCCUUAACUGGAUAAGGACUCAGUUCCCUUCCUUUUGAGUGCCUCCAAGCUGCCCUGGGCCUGUGUGAGCCAAGGUGCAGCGGCAGACUGAGGGCACACCUUGUUUUCCUGAGCACAUCUCAGUGGAGAAGCAUUGUUGGCUUACAUAAGCACACGGAUCUCUUGCCUCCUGCUAGAGUCUAAAAUCAUGAAAUCUUUUCCAGGUGUGCUCUUGCUGCCUCUGGACUGGAAUGUUAAGUGCUGGUGGAGUUGUUUGGCUUAACAGUCUGAUCAAAAUGUGUCUGUGGAUGGACAAGGAACCACCGCUUGGUCACUGGGCAGUUGAGGAAAAGCUCUUCACACCCCCAGGCUCUUGGGCCUCCAGAGCACUUGAUGGAAACCACUCCUGCAACCACUCCUUCAUCGUCUUCCCACCUCGUGAGCUCUGUGAGGACACGACGCCGCUUGUUCUCCACUGUCCACAUAGCACCUGUGGUCUGGGAGGAUGAUGGUUGCCCAAAAAAGGACGCUUGAGAUGGGGUUUGGGUAGAAAAUCCAGGACAGGUUGAUUCCCAUAAGUGCAAUUCCUCAGAUCACUAAUUUUUUUUAGAAUUGUUUUCUUUUUCUUUUCUUUUUUUUCUUACGGCUGCACCCGUGGCAUAUGGAGGUUCCCAGGCUAGGGGUCAAAUGGGAGCUACAGCUGCCGGCCUAUGCCCCAGCCUCAGCAAGGCGGAAUCUGAGCCUCGUCUGCGACCUACACCAUAGCUCAUGGCAAUGCCAGAUCCCCGACCCCCUGAGUGAGGCCAGGGAUCAAACCUGCAUCCUUACCGAUGCUAGUCGGAUUCGAUUCUGCUUCGCCGCAAUAGCAACGCCCUAGAAUUCUUUUCACUUUUAAUAUGUGUUUCCUAAUUAUAGACUGAUGUAUACUCAAUACAGAUAGGAAAAUAAUACUAAAAAAUCUGAAUACCCCUAAUUGCAUAUGGGAUUGGCAUAUGCACAUUGUGCUAUGUGGAAUGACUGGCCAGUGGGGACCUGCGGUAAAGCACAGGGAACACUACCCAAUACUCUGUGAUAAUCUGUGUGGGAAAAGAACCUGAAAAAGAAUGACUGUGUGUAUAUGUAUACCUGAAUCACUUUGUCGUACAGCACAAAUUAUCGCAACAUUAUAAAUCAACUAUACUCCAAUAAAACUUUAAAAAUGAAAAGAAAAUCUGAAUAC
rnacentral:lncRNA from 1 species